UAGGGCCCCACUAUAAAACCUCGGAAAUUGAAUUGAACAGAAGCGAUACAAUUUCAUUUGAUUGUUUAAUUCUGUAUUGCAUGAUCUCUACAGCAUCUUACAAUGUGCGCAAUCAUCAGAGGAGCCGUCCUGCUUUAUCUUUUCUGUUUCUGGACUCAGAGAAGGGUGGAUGCCAUAACACCCGAAGUUUUGGCAAGCAUCACACGUGAUAUUAUAAGAGUGACCAACAUGAAUAAUCAGUAUGCUUUCGCUGUUGUUUUACCACAAGAUGAAUGCAACCACCAUUAUACACAUGGCUUUACCAACAAUGCUGCUCAGCUAAUUCGUAGAGCACUCAAUGGCAACAAUCGAAUGUAUUUGGGUGAAAGAGUAAUAGCUGCCCGGCCUUUGUUUAACACUGAUUUUACUGACCAUGCAGAGUAUCGGUUACUGGUAAACGAUCAACGGGAAAGUCAUAUGGGCGAUUUAAUAAACAGAUGGAAUAUCGAGCAAUCCUGUACUGUAUUCUUCACUUUGUACUCACCAUGUGUAGAAAAAUGCUCAAACCCAAGACACCCUUACAACAUUCUCCAAUACUUAGAUGUUUUUAGCAAUCUAGAUCACAACAGGGUUGCUUUUGUGUUUCAGGAUAUUUUCGAUCAAAGCAUAUCCAGGCGAGAUAUGUUAAAUCUGCUUAAGAGCAUUCAUGAAAAUGGGGGAAAUGUCCCUGUGUAUCGGUGUCCGGCUGGAAGUAAUACUUGUUUUAACUGUAUGGCUACCUUAAACAGACGGAACAACAGAUGUCUUGAGGGACUGCCAAAUUAACAUUUUGCAUUAACUGGUUUGAGAAAUGCUAUAUGUUAAUUAAUCUGUGGCUCAUUGAUCAAAGCAUACUAUUUCUUAAAAUAAGUUGUUUUCUCAUUAUAAGAUACAUAAAAAAAAUUAUAUUCUGCCUUUUGUGUUUUUGAUAUUUUACUGCUUCAUUAUGCUUACAAGCAUGCCUUGAACUCCGAUAAAUAACAAUAAAACUGUAGCAUUAAGAAAGUA